CUCAGGUUUUCCUGACUCCAGGCACAACGUUCUAUCCACCGAACCAUAUAGCUGCCUCUAAGAGUAACAUCACUUAGAACAAUUGGGAAGUGAUAGUCUCACAGCACUCUGCCCUUAUCAGACUUCAUCUGGAGUAUCCCACUCAAAGAUGUCUGAUCAAGCUGAGGCUUGUUGGUUGUCCUCAACCUGGUUUAGCCUGUCUGCUGAGAUGGUUUAUUGGAGUGUGGCUACUACACAUGCUACAGCUUCUUGGACCCACAGCUUAAAAUGCUCAAUCAAACUUUGGCAAGGCUCACAAUCACUGCCUAUGUACCUGAAGUGAAAUGAAUCAAAGACCGGAGAACCUGUUCCCAUCACAGAACGCUGGUCCUGUGACCCACCAAGUAAUGACCUCCAAGGACUCAAGCAACAGUGCUCCCUCAGUACUCCAGAAUUGUUGUCCGUUUGUGGUUUGUCAUGGAAAGAUUGUUUGUAAUCCUCCUUCACCUCUCCCUUCCCAUUUGUGAUUUAUGUGUAUAAUCUCUAUUUUCACUUCAGCAACAUGGAAUUCUGAUCAGAAAAAUUCCCAAUUUGCAAAUUUAUUCCUCAUGAUGAAAUUAAUUAAU